rnacentral:tRNA from 1 species
AAAGCUUUAAGUUAAUUAAACUAUUAACCUUCAAAGUUAAAUUUAUACAAUAAAGUAUAAGCUUUA